rnacentral:lncRNA from 1 species
UUUCUCCAUCCCUCUGCCAUACUUCUUGCUAAUGUUAUCUUCAUUUUCUUACUUCCCACUCACUGUUUAGCCCAUGUUAAUCUAAUUUCAGACAUAACUCUACCAGCCCGGUGCUCUCCAAGUUCACUGGUAAACUUCCUAAUUGGCUAAUUCAGUUGGCCCUUUCCAUUGGUAUCUUCUGGGCCUUUCUGCAGCAUAGACGCUGCUAAUCAACCUUCCUGAGUUUCUUACUGUCAUUAGCUUCCAUCCCACGAGCUCUCUCUGGAAUUCACUCUUGGUUCUUAUUCCUUCUUCACUUAUUUUUAAUCUCUUUUUUCUGUGAUGACCCCUUAAAUGCCAGAGUUUCUUAGGUUGUGUGCCUUGUCCUGCUCACUCUUGUUUCUACCCAGUCUCAUAGAGCUACCAUGCCGUCUAGAAGUUUCGCUUACCACCCGUCUGCGGCGGCCCUGUAGAUGUUUCUUAGUUUCGUUUGGUUUGGGUUUUUGUUUUUUUUUUCCUGAGACAGAUUCUCACUCUGUCACCCAGGCUAGAGUGCAGUGGUGCGAUCUCAGCUCACAGCAACAUCUGCUUCCAGGCUCAAGCGAGUCUCCUGCCUCAGCCUCCCGAGUAGCUGGGAAUACAGGCACAUAAGAAGACUACAUUUCCCAGCAUCCCUUGCAAUUGAGCUCACGUGAUUAGCUCUAGCCAAGAGGUGGCAAGCAGAAGAUACUUGAGUCUCUUCCUGGUGAAAUAGAAUGAAAGCACUGAACACAGAUGUGAAGUCUCUGUGCUUUUACUUCCGUCACUGUGGUGAAUUGGCAUCCAUAUGUUGAAAUGACAUCACAAGACAGAAACAAUUAGGGUCACUGAGUCACUGCAAGAAAGAGAGCUGCCCUGGAGAGUCAUCUAGAAUCACAGCAAUCUUCUGUAUAUUCAAGAAACAAAGCUUUGUUUGUACUGAGAUUGGAGGUUGUUAUUGCAGCAGAGUACAGCCUAUCCUAACCAAUACAGAAAAUAUAGUAGGCAAAAUAAGGGCACCCAAAAAAAUGCUCAUUUCCUAAUCUCCAGGACCUGUAAACAAGUUAUAUCAUAUGGCAAAGACAAAUCAAAGUUGCAGAUGGAAUUAAGGUUGCUAAUCAGCUAAUCUGGAGAUGGAGAGAUUGUUCUAGAUUAUCUGAGUAAACCCUAUGUAAUUACAAAGGAUCUUAAAAGCAGAAGAGAGAAUCAAAAGAAUCAGAAAGAUGGCAGUAUGAGUGGGACUUGGCCCAAUGUUGCUGGCUUUGAAGAUGAAGGAAUGAGGCCAUGAGUCAUCGAGUAUGGUAGCCUCUAUAAGCAGGAAAAGGCAAGGAAAUGGUUCUACCCUAGAAUGUUCAGAAAGGAAUGCACCCUACCAACACCAGUCUUUGCCUGGGUAAGGUAUAUGUUCCACUCCUAAGCUAUAGAACUAUAAAUAAUAAAUCUGUGUUGUUUUAAGCCACUAAGUUUGGGAUAAUUUGUUGCAGCACUAAUAGAAGACUAAUACAGAGGCAUUUGUAGACCUCAGGCUCAUUCAAGAAUUCUCAUCUGUUUCCCCAUAAUGCUCUAAAUAUAUUUUAUUAAUGUACUUCCC